UGGGCAUAUUAUUGUAUUCGACUGUAAUCAUAACGUGAAACGGGGGAUUACACUUUUAAACGGAAAGUGAAUCAAUUAACAUAAUAGACUCUU
rnacentral:pre_miRNA from 1 species